rnacentral:tRNA from 1 species
AGGUCAGUAGCUCUAAUUGGUAGAGCACCAGACUCCAAAUCUGGGGGUUGGGGGUUCGACUCCCUCCUGACCUGCCA